rnacentral:rRNA from 1 species
ACGGGAGGCAGCAGUGAGGAAUAUUGGUCAAUGGGCGGAAGCCUGAACCAGCCAAGUCGCGUGAAGGAUGAAGGUAUUAUGUAUUGUAAACUUCUUUAGACGCAGAGAAAUAAGGGGCUCGUGAGCCCUGAUGCUAGUAUGCGUAGAAUAAGGAUCGGCUAACUCCGUGCCAGCAGCCGCGGUAAUACGGAGGAUCCGAGCGUUAUCCGGAUUUAUUGGGUUUAAAGGGUGCGCAGGCGGUCUUUUAAGUCAGUGGUUAAAUCGUGAGGCUCAACCUCAUCACGCCAUUGAUACUGGAGGACUUGAUCGCGGUUGAGGUUGGCGGAAUUCGCCGUGUAGCGGUGAAAUGCAUAGAUAUGGCGAAGAACUCCGAUUGCGUAGGCAGCUGACCAAGCCGUAAAUGACGCUCAUGCACGAAAGUGCGGGGAUCGAACAGGAUUAGAUACCCUGGUA